AGCAAGCGAUGAGCCUCGAAGCUA
rnacentral:siRNA from 1 species